CAUCGAGGAUAGAUGAAAGGUGGGCCCCUGCAUGUAAGCUAUCACUGAAGGAGGGGAUUGCGUCUGAUUAGCUAGUUGGAGGGGUAACCGGCCCACCAAGGCGAUGAUCAGUAGCCGGUCUGAGAGGAUGAACGGCCACAUUGGGACUGAGACACGGCCCACACUCCUACGGGAGGCAGCAGUGGGGAAUCUUCCGCAAUGGACGAAAGUCUGACGGAGCAACGCCGCGUGAGUGAUGACCGGCUUCGGGUUGUAAAGCUCUGUUAAUCGGGACGAAAGGCCUUCUUGCGAAUAGUGAGAAGGAUUGACGUACCGGAAUAGAAAACCC
rnacentral:rRNA from 1 species